GUCCGUGUGGAGCAAAUCUGGCAACUCGCUCCCCUCCAGUGAAAGCUUUGGCAGAGCCUUGGAUAAUUGGGAGAGUUGGUGGUUCGAAUCCACCCGCGGACA